AUUGAACGCUGGCGGCAGGCCUAACACAUGCAAGUCGAGCGGAUGAGUGGAGCUUGCUCCACGAUUCAGCGGCGGACGGGUGAGUAAUGCCUAGGAAUCUGCCUGGUAGUGGGGGACAACGUUUCGAAAGGAACGCUAAUACCGCAUACGUCCUACGGGAGAAAGCAGGGGACCUUCGGGCCUUGCGAUAUCAGAUGAGCCUAGGUCGGAUUAGCUUGUUGGUGAGGUAAUGGCUCACCAAGGCGACGAUCCGUAACUGGUCUGAGAGGAUGAUCAGUCACACUGGAACUGAGACACGGUCCAGACUCCUACGGGAGGCAGCAGUGGGGAAUAUUGGACAAUGGGCGAAAGCCUGAUCCAGCCAUGCCGCGUGUGUGAAGAAGGUCUUCGGAUUGUAAAGCACUUUAAGUUGGGAGGAAGGGCAGUCAGCGAAUACCUGAUUGUUUUGACGUUACCGACAGAAUAAGCACCGGCUAACUCUGUGCCAGCCGCCGCGGUAAAAC
rnacentral:rRNA from 1 species